rnacentral:rRNA from 1 species
UACGGGGGGGGCAAGCGUUGUUCGGAAUUACUGGGCGUAAAGGGCGCGUAGGCGGCGUAACAAGUCACUUGUGAAAUCUCCGGGCUUAACCCGGAGCGGCCAAGUGAUACUGUUGUGCUAGAGUGCGGAAGGGGCUACUGGAAUUCUCGGUGUAGCGGUGAAAUGCGUAGAUAUCGGGAGGAACAUCAGUGGCGAAGGCGGCCCUCUGGUCCAGUACUGACACUCAAGUGCGAAAGCGUGGGGAGCAAACAGG